rnacentral:sRNA from 1 species
AUUUUUGCAGAGAUGCGUCUCCACCCAAAGGUCCUAGGUACCUUUGAGCGAUUGUGAAAGCCAUAACCCCUCACCCCGAAAUGACCUGUCCUCAUGCAUAUAGAAUCUUACAAUCACAGGGGUUAUGGAUCCUAUUUAGAGCCUAUAUUGAGAUCUUGAGGAGUCAGUAGUUCUCUAGAAUCCCUGUUCCAGGCGCCUCUGUUCCUGAGCAGUGUUAUGUGAACAGUGUCCUCUGUCUGUGGCUCUGUGUCCUGGCUGAGAAAGGCAGCGCUGCCUUCAGGGAACUGGGCCCAUUGCUGGGGGUCAGAGCCUUGCAUGCUCACUGUGCCCCACGUGGCUUAGACAGUACCGGCUACAGCCCUUAUCCCGACUCCACGGGUGUGAGCACAGAGGCUGAGUCACCUGCCCGAAGCAGCACAGCGAGUAAGUCACAGAGGGGAUUUGAAGCCAGGCUCAGAGCCCAGGAUUUGACCAGUGUCUCUGUGCCCACUCAAGGGAGGAAGAGUAUCCUGAGUAAGAGGGAAGCUGCAUGUGGAUCACGGGGAAGUUGCUCUGCCCUCACAUCAGCUCCUCAUGUGUACAGCUCCAGAUGGGUGGGUGUUGUCAGAGAAUUGCUCAUAGGAAGCUACAGUUCCUUCUCCACAGUCU